rnacentral:pre_miRNA from 1 species
ACUCAGCCCUGGGGGCACUUUCUGGUUCCUGAAUGAGGAAAGUGCUGCCAGAGUUGAGUAU